CCCAGCAAAGAGCAGCACACAGCUGAAAGAAAAACUCAGAAGACAGAGCUGAAAAAGAAAACUGGUGAUGGAUCUCAUUCCAAACUUUGCCAUGGAAACAUGGGUUCUCGUGGCUACCAGUCUGGUACUCCUCUAUAUCACUCUUUCCAUUUCUUACCCCAGUUUUUGAAGCCCUAAAUAUCGGUUUGUUUCCAAAAGAUGUUACCCAUUUUUUAAAAAAUUCCAUUGAAAGGAUGAAAGAAAGUCGCCUCAAAGAUAAGCAAAAGCAUCGAGUAGAUUUCUUUCAACAGAUGAUCGACUCCCAGAAUUCCAAAGAAACAAAGUCCCAUAAAGCUCUGUCUGAUCUGGAGCUUGUGGCCCAGUCAAUUAUCAUCAUUUUUGCUGCCUAUGACACAACUAGCACCACUCUCCCCUUCAUUAUGUAUGAACUGGCCACUCACCCUGAUGUCCAGCAGAAACUGCAGGAGGAGAUUGACGCAGUUUUACCCAAUAAGGCACCUGUCACCUACGAUGCCCUGGUACAGAUGGAGUACCUUGACAUGGUGGUGAAUGAAACGCUCAGAUUAUUCCCAGUUGUUAGUAGAGUUACGAGAGUCUGCAAGAAAGAUAUUGAAAUCAAUGGAGUGUUCAUUCCCAAAGGGUUAGCAGUGAUGGUUCCAAUCUAUGCUCUUCACCAUGACCCAAAGUACUGGACAGAGCCUGAGAAGUUCUGCCCUGAAAGGUUCAGUAAGAAGAACAAGGACAGCAUAGAUCUUUACAGAUACAUACCUUUUGGAGCUGGACCCCAAAACUGCAUUGGCAUGAGGUUUGCUCUCACAAACAUAAAACUUGGUGUCAUUAGAGCACUGCAGAACUUCUCCUUCAAACCUUGUAAAGAGACUCAGAUCCCACUGAAAUUAGACAAUCUACCAAUUCUUCAACCAGAAAAACCUAUUGUUCUAAAAGUGCACUUAAGAGAUGGGAUUACAAGUGGACCCUGACUUUCCCUAAGGACUUCCACUUUGUUCAAGAAAGCUGUAUCCCA
rnacentral:sRNA from 1 species